GAUGAACGCUGGCGGCGUGCCUAAUACAUGCAAGUCGAGCGAACGGACGAGAAGCUUGCUUCUCUGAUGUUAGCGGCGGACGGGUGAGUAACACGUGGAUAACCUACCUAUAAGACUGGGAUAACUUCGGGAAACCGGAGCUAAUACCGGAUGAUAUUUUGAACCGCAUGGUUCAAAAGUGAAAGACGGUCUUGCUGUCACUUAUAGCUGGAUCCGCGCUGCAUUAGCUAGUUGGUAAGGUAACGGCUUACCAAGGCAACGAUGCAUAGCCGACCUGAGAGGGUGAGCGGCCACACUGGAACUGAGACACGGUCCAGACUCCUACGGGAGGCAGCAGUAGGGAAUCUUCCGCAAUGGGCGAAAGCCUGACGGAGCAACGCCGCGUGAGUGAUGAAGGUCUUCGGAUCGUAAAACUCUGUUAUUAGGGAAGAACAUAUGUGUAAGUAACUGUGCACAUCUUGACGGUACCUAAUCAGAAAGCCACGGCUAACUACGUG
rnacentral:rRNA from 1 species